rnacentral:autocatalytically_spliced_intron from 1 species
CUUCCAUGCUUUAGGUAUAAACUAGGGUAUGACCCUGUAACGACUGACCCGAAAGGGGAGGCUCUACUGAUUUAGUAGGGCAAUACGCCAACGCCUACAAUCUCAACUCAGGAUAUGGUUAUACAACCUAAGUCCCUGGUGUAGGAUGAAGAUAUAGUCUAUGCCAUUAGUAAUAAUGGA